rnacentral:lncRNA from 1 species
UCCAUUAGGUAUUGGAGAGGUUAUUUGGGUUGUUUUGGUCCUUAAAUAAAACAAGUUUUCGAAAUAAUUUUUUUUAACAAAAUCAAAAUUGCAGCAAUUAGACAUCAAUUCGAAUUCUUGGAAAUAAAAAAACAUCAAUUGGAAUUAACGCCGGAAAAAAAGAAGUUCAAAUUAACGAGCUCUCGAGGUUUUCUCUGCUCUUUUCAUCAGUUAACCACCGUCGCCGCCGCCAUCACCGUAACCGUCGAGCCUUCUGCACCGGUAAUUUGUCUCUGUCUGUGCGCUUUUUCACAGUCACUAGAAUUUUUACUUAUAUCAAGGAGAUUGAACAGUUUAUAUAUAAUCAAAGGAUUUCAUUUUUAUUCCAUUAGCACAAUACAAUUUUGCAACGAAGAAGAUUUAAUUGACACUAUCACUACUUGUGGCUAUAGAUGAAAUGGAUGUGAAAUUGUGAAUGGAAUGGUACAGAAAACUGAAUAUAGAGGAUAUGUGAUAAUAGGCAAUAUAGUUGUUAUUUACAUCAUAAUUGUCCAUGUUUUGUUGUUGUUUUAUAAUGUAAGUUGUCAAUAAAAUGCUUUAAUUAAUGAUAUUUGGUUUCACAGGGAAUAUAAGAUAUGAGGUAGCAACAUGAAGUGUUUAGAGGCAAUAACGUGAAGAAAACACCCACUCAAGAAGUACUCAAACACAAAAGAGCAAAAAGAGAAGGAACGCGGAGACAAAAAGGCCCAACAUACUCACCGCGGUUGCCACCGCGGUUCGUACGGCGGUUGGAGUCAGUGUUCUCCGCGGCGGCAUGUUCACAAUCCAGAAAUUUAAGGGGCCAAAGUGUCAAUUCGGGAAAACUUUUGUAAAACCUUUAUAAGAUGUAGGAAACUCGCCCAAGAGAAAUGGGGGCUAAUN